AUCAGUGUGGUUUUGCCUUCGAGGAGGGGUGCCCAGUGGUGAUGCCCAGGAGAGGGAAUGGAAACCUGGAGCUGGGAGUGAGGUUGGAGCUGUAAGAUCCAAGACCCAGGGAGACAAGAGGACCCUGGGGACGAAUAGGAACAGCUGAGCAAGGCAAGGCUGAGCCCCGGGCGGGCGGGUUGGGGGAACAUGCCUAGCUAGAGGCCGGCAGCAGGAAAGCAGAGAAGGCAUCCCUGCAGGUUGGCCCUGGGGCAGAGUGCUGGAUCCCAGCAACGGACAAGUUAGUGAACUUAAAGGGGGGCAUCCUCAAGGCAGUAAACCGGAGCCAAGUGGGUUAAAUCCUUCUUGCUGCUAUUAAGGGGAGGAGACAGGUUUCUGCAGACUCUACAUUUUGGAGAGAAACAGAAAAGAAUGUCCCCAAGUCUCCUUUGCUCUGCGAUGCUGGGGCAGAUUGGCAAGGUCCCAAGAGAAGCACAAUGGUAACCGACGCUGCCCUUGGCUGAACUUCUUCUGUUAAAUCCUUCGGAUGGAUGCUGGAAUCGACCUUGGUCUCUAGUUCGACUCCCGUGCAACGUGUUGAGGAGGAGCCACCUCCUCCAAGCACCUAAAGCCGACCCAGAAACGCCUCCCAAUCCCUCCACACCGGGGCUCCCGGGAUCCGAAGCUGGGGAGCUGCUUCUGUCCAAUCAGGCUUUGCAUCCCGGGACGCUUCCGGUUAUGGCGUCAUUACGCAGCCAGAACGGAGUCUCGCUCUGUCACCCAGGGUGGAGUGCAGUAGCGUGAUCUCGGCUCACUUCAAGCUCCACCUCCUGGGUUCACGCCAUUCUCCUGCCUCAUCCUCCCAAAGUGUUGAGAUUACAGGCGUGAGCCAUUGGGCCCGGCCAGGGACUGGAGUUUUGUCUGCAGCAGACAAACAAGCUGGGACUACAGGCGCCCGCCACCACACUGGCUAAUUUUUUGUAUUUUUAGUAUAGACGGGGUUUCACCGUGUUAGCCAGGAUGGUCUCAAUUUCCUGACCUAGUGAUCCGCUCACCUCGGCCUCCCAAAGUGGUGUGAUUACAGGCGUGAGCCACCGCGCCCUGCCCAAUUACCUUUUUAAUGUAAAAUUAAUGCAUGUACAACGCAAAAAUGCUGAACAAUCCAAGAGGGCAUAAAAAAUAAAAGUACCCCCUCCCCACCCACGUGCCUUUAGCUGAGCCUGUUCCCACUGUUUGUUCACUGUUAUUUAGCACAGGGAAUCUCCCAAAGGGCUCCCCCUAAUGCUGGGGGUGCCCCCUUCACAUCCCAACACCUUCACGGGGCUCAGCGGUGCUCUCCUUGAACAGCGCGAGCUCUAACUAUGCUCCAAGUAAACUGCAUUUUUUCUCAAAUCCCUGCGCUUUCACUUGGCUGUCGUCUGCAUCCUCAGAUCCUCAGCCGGAUGGCUGAGUGCCAGUUCAGUGACUGCAGUCUCGCAGGGGAAGGGUGUGGUACUUCUGUUACGCACGUUAAAGGCCUUGCACAGCUACCACUCCUCAUCUCUGCCCAGUCAACAAUAUGUUGACUCAAGCAGUUUUGGGGGGAGUAGACUCCGCCCCUCCGCUGCCUUCCAUCUUCAACCCGGCCUUACUCCUACCAAUCAGGAGCCAUGCACCCAGGCUCUCCUCUGCUUACGUUAAGACUACGCUGAUUUCUCGAGGGUUGUCAGGCAUUGUUGCUCUUCUCCAAUAUACUCCGCCUGCAAAAAUGGGCCGGGCGCGGUGGCUCACGCCUGUAACCCCAGCACUUUGGGAGGCUAAGGCGGGCAGAUCACGAGGUCAGGAGAUCGAGACCAUCCUGGCUAACACGAUGAAACCCCGUCUCUACUAAAAAUACAAAAAAAUUAGCCGGGCGUGGUGGCGGGCGCCUGUACUCCCAGCUAUUCGGGAGGCUGAGGCAGGAGAAUGGUAUGAACCCGGCAGGCAAAGGUUGCAAUGAGCAGAAAUCGUGCCACUGCACUCCAGCCUGGGCGACAGAGCAAGAUUCCAUCUCAGAAAAAAAAAAAAAAAUGGCAGAAAUGUCACAUGUCUGCCCUGCGUAGAUCAUGCAGACUUUUCCUACAGGAUUUAAGCCACAUCAAGUCAGCCUUUGCUUACUUUCUUACCUAGAAACUUCCCAGGUUAUC